rnacentral:rRNA from 1 species
UGACGACCGGCGCACGGGUGCGUAACGCGUAUAGAACCUACCUUUUACAGGAGAGUAGCCCAGAGAAAUUUGGAUUAAUGCUCCAUAGUAUUGUUGGAUGGCAUCGUUUAACAAUUAAAGAUUUAUCGGUAAGAGAUGGCUAUGCGUUCUAUUAGUUAGUUGGUAAGGUAACGGCUUACCAAGACAUCGAUAGAUAGGGGUCCUGAGAGGGAGAUCCCCCACACUGGUACUGAGACACGGACCAGACUCCUACGGGAGGCAGCAGUGAGGAAUAUUGGACAAUGGGCGGGAGCCUGAUCCAGCCAUGCCGCGUGCAGGAAGACUGCCCUAUGGGUUGUAAACUGCUUUUGUAUAGGAAGAAACGUAGCUACGUGUAGCUAUUUGACGGUACUAUAAGAAUAAGGAUCGGCUAACUCCGUGCCAGCAGCCGCGGUAAUACGGAGGAUCCAAGCGUUAUCCGGAAUCAUUGGGUUUAAAGGGUCCGUAGGUGGGUUUAUAAGUCAGUGGUGAAAGUUUGCGGCUUAACCGUAAAAUUGCCAUUGAUACUGUAGAUCUUGAAUGCUUGUGAAGUGGUUAGAAUAAGUAGUGUAGCGGUGAAAUGCAUAGAUAUUACUUAGAAUACCGAUUGCGAAGGCAAAUCACUAACAGGUUAUUGACACUGAUGGACGAAAGCGUGGGUAGCGAACAGGAUUAGAUACCCUGGUAGUCCACGCCGUAAACGAUGGAUACUAGUUGUUUGGCGAAAGCUGAGUGACUAAGCGAAAGUGAUAAGUAUCCCACCUGGGGAGUACGUUCGCAAGAAUGAAACUCAAAGGAAUUGACGGGGCCCGCACAAGCGGUGGAGCAUGUGGUUUAAUUCGAUGAUACGCGAGGAACCUUAC